rnacentral:sRNA from 1 species
GAAAGGCUGAGCCGCUUGAGCGGCUCAGCCUUUGUCAUUGCGCGGGCGAAUCCCGGCAAGUGCGAGUAUGAAGG